UUGCCAGACUCCUACGGGAGGCAGCAGUGAGGAAUAUUGGUCAAUGGACGCAAGUCUGAACCAGCCAUGCCGCGUGCAGGAUGACGGCUCUAUGAGUUGUAAACUGCUUUUGUACGAGGGUAAACCCCGAUACGUGUAUCGGGUUGAAAGUAUCGUACGAAUAAGGAUCGGCUAACUCCGUGCCAGCAGCCGCGGUAAUACGGAGGAUCCAAGCGUUAUCCGGAUUUAUUGGGUUUAAAGGGUGCGUAGGCGGAUUGAUAAGUUAGAGGUGAAAUGUCCGAGCUCAACUCGGGAACUGCCUCUAAUACUGUUGAUCUAGAGAGUAGAUGCGGUAGGCGGAAUGUAUGGUGUAGCGGUGAAAUGCUUAGAGAUCAUACAGAACACCGAUUGCGAAGGCAGCUUACCAAUCUAUAUCUGACGUUGAGGCACGAAAGCGUGGGGAGCAAACAGGAUUAGAUACCCCUGUAU
rnacentral:rRNA from 1 species